rnacentral:rRNA from 1 species
CACGUAGGGCGCAAGCGUUGUCCGGAAUACUGGGCGUAAAGCGUGCGCAGGCGGUCUCGCAAGUCCGAUGUGAAAUCCCCGGGCUCAACCUGGGAACUGCGUUGGAAACUACGAGGCUGGAGUACGGCAGGAGGGGGGUGGAAUUCCACGUGUAGCAGUGAAAUGCGUAGAUAUGUGGAGGAACACCGAUGGCGAAGGCAGCCCCCUGGGCUAGUACUGACGCUCAUGCACGAAAGCGUGGGGAGCAAACAGG